rnacentral:rRNA from 1 species
AUUGAACGCUGGCGGCAGGCUUAACACAUGCAAGUCGAGCGGGGUGAUGGUGCUUGCACUAUCACUUAGCGGCGGACGGGUGAGUAAUGCUUAGGAAUCUGCCUAUUAGGGGGGGACAACAUCUCGAAAGGGAUGCUAAUACCGCAUACGUCCUACGGGAGAAAGCAGGGGACCACUUGUGACCUUGCGCUAAUAGAUGAGCCUAAGUCGGAUUAGCUAGUUGGUGGGGUAAAGGCCUACCAAGGCGACGAUCUGUAGCGGGUCUGAGAGGAUGAUCCGCCACACUGGGACUGAGACACGGCCCAGACUCCUACGGGAGGCAGCAGUGGGGAAUAUUGGACAAUGGGGGGAACCCUGAUCCAGCCAUGCCGCGUGUGUGAAGAAGGCCUUAUGGUUGUAAAGCACUUUAAGCGAGGAGGAGGCUCUUUUGGUUAAUACCCAAGAUGAGUGGACGUUACUCGCAGAAUAAGCACCGGCUAACUCUGUGCCAGCGGCCGCAGUAA